rnacentral:rRNA from 1 species
UACGGGGGGAGCAAGCGUUGUUCGGAUUUACUGGGCGUAAAGGGCGCGUAGGCGGCCACCGCAAGUCGACUGUGAAAUCUCCGGGCUUAACCCGGAAAGGUCAGCCGAUACUGCGGGGCUAGAGUGCAGAAGGGGCAACUGGAAUUCUCGGUGUAGCGGUGAAAUGCGUAGAUAUCUGGAGGAACACCGGUGGCGAAGGCGGCAUUCUGGACCGGCAUUGACGCUGAGGCGCGAAAGCCAGGGGAGCAAACGGG